UACGUGAGGGGCUAGCGUUGCUCGGAUUGACUGGGCGUAAAGGGCGCGUAGGCGGUUCGUACAGUCAGACGUGAAAUUCCUGGGCUCAACCUGGGGCUGCGUUUGAUACGUGCGGACUUGAGUGCGGAAGAGGGUCGUGGAAUUCCCGAGUGUAGAGGUGAAAUUCGUAGAUAUUGGGAAGAACACCGGUGGCGAAGGCGGCGACCUGGUCCGAUACUGACGCUGAGGCGCGAAAGCGUGGGGAGCAAACAGG
rnacentral:rRNA from 1 species